rfam:Ornithinibacillus halophilus strain IBRC-M 10683 genome assembly, contig: Ga0104432_1061
GUUACCUUUAAUUCAGUCCCGUGAGACUGGCAAGGUGGAGCAGACUAGGUCUGUUUAUCAAGAAAUGGUGGAAAAGUGUAUUUCCAUGGUUUCUACGUGCGUGUACACCUUGCCUUUGAUGGCAAGGUGUUUUUUAU